GACGAAGGGGGCUAGCGUUGUUCGGAAUUACUGGGCGUAAAGCGCGUGUAGGCGGUUGUCCAAGUUGGAUGUGAAAGCCUUGAGCUCAACUCAAGAAAUGCAUUCAGGACUGGGCGACUAGAGGACCGGAGAGGAUAGUGGAAUUCCCAGUGUAGUGGUGAAAUACGUAGAGAUUGGGAAGAACACCAGUGGCGAAGGCGGCUAUCUGGACGGUUUCUGACACUAAGACUCGAAAGCGUGGGGAGCAAACAGG
rnacentral:rRNA from 1 species